ensembl:miRNA
UGGGGUGAGGCUUGGGACAGGAGGUUUAGACUGAAAUGCAAACCUUCUCUUCCCCCUCGGCCAG